GAAUAGACUACCCGAGGUAGUCCACGCCCUAAACGAUGUCAACUGGUUGUUGAGAGGGUUUCUUCGUCAGUAACGUAGCCAACGCGUGAAGUUGACCGCCUGGGGAGUACGGCCGCAAGGUUGAAACUCAAAGGAAUUGACGGGGACCCGGCACAAGCGGUGGAUGAUGUGGUUUAAUUCGACGCAACGCGAAAAACCUUACCUACCCUUGACAUGCCCGGAAUCCCGCAGAGAUGUGGGAGUGCUCGAAAGAGAGCCGGGACACAGGUGCUGCAUGGCCGUCGUCAGCUCGUGUCGUGAGAUGUUGGGUUAAGUCCCGCAACGAGCGCAACCCUUGCCAUUAGUUGCUACGAAAGGGCACUCUAAUGGGACUGCCGGUGACAAACCGGGAGGAAGGUGGGGAUGACGGUCAGGUCAUCAUGGCCCUUAUGGGGUAGGGCUACACACGUCAUACAAUGGCCGGCACAGAGGGGCCGCUAACCCGGCGAGGGGGGAGCCGAAUCCCAGAAAGCCGGUCGUAGUCCGGAUCGCAGUCUGCAACUCGACUG
rnacentral:rRNA from 1 species